rnacentral:rRNA from 1 species
UUGGAGGGCAAGUCUGGUGCCAGCAGCCGCGGUAAUUCCAGCUCCAAUAGCGUAUAUUAAAGUUGUUGCAGUUAAAAAGCUCGUAGUUGAAUUUCGGGAUUGACGUGAUGGUCAUGCCUUAAGGGGUAUGAACUGUUACAGUUGAUUUCUCACCUUCUGGAGAAACUUGAUGUCCUUUAUUGGGUGUCUUGCGGAUCCAGGACCUUUACCUUGAAAAAAUUAGAGUGUUUAAAGCAGGCAUUUUUGCUCGAAUACAUUAGCAUGGAAUAAUAGAAUAGGACGGCAUGGUUCUAUUUUGUUGGUUUCUAGGAUCACCGUAAUGAUUAAUAGGGAUAGUUGGGGGCAUUAGUAUUCAAUUGUCAGAGGUGAAAUUCUUGGAUUUAUUGGAGACUAACUACUGCGAAAGCAUUUGCCAAGGAUGUUUUCAUUAAUCAAGAACGAAAGUUAGGGGAUCGAAGACGAUCAGAUACCGUCGUAGUCUUAACCAUAAACUAUGCCGACUAGGAAUCAGACGAUGUUAAUUUUUUAAUGACUCGUUUGGCACCUUACGGGAAACCAAAGUGUUUGGGUUC